rnacentral:rRNA from 1 species
GACGAACCGAGCGAACGUUGUUCGGAAUCACUGGGCUUAAAGGGCGCGUAGGCGGGUGCUCAAGUCCGGGGUGAAAUCCUCCAGCUCAACUGGAGAACUGCCUCGGAUACUGGGUGUCUCGAGGGUGGUAGGGGUAUGCGGAACUAUCGGUGGAGCGGUGAAAUGCGUUGAUAUCGAUAGGAACUCCGGUGGCGAAGGCGGCAUACUGGACCACAUCUGACGCUGAGGAGCGAAAGCGUGGGGAGCGAACAGG